UUCUGUUAAGUGAUUCAUUCUUGUUAUUUGUAACUAAAUUAAGUAAUAAUCAAAUGAAUUAGAUCAGCACUUGUUGAUUCAACGAGACUGAGGCGCUUCGUAUCGACGACUCUCUCUGGUGAGUCACUGCGCAUGCUCAGCACUGCGGCGGAAACACGCGGGUACAGGCGGAUGGAAGAAGUGGAGUUGUGAAAGCGCCGGCGGUUUGAACUGCUGCUUCUAAUCGUUCUGCGUAUUUGAUUUUGAGGUGGAAAUGUUCCUUUUUAUGUACAAAAAAAAAAAAAAAAAAAAGAAAGAAAGAAA